rnacentral:pre_miRNA from 1 species
UGAUAUGUUUGAUAUUUGGUUUGUUGAAAUGAUAGCCAACCGUGCAUCGAACAUAUCACG